CUGCAGACUCUGCAGUCAGACCUGGAUUCAAAUCCCACCACUCAGAGUGUGAUCUCGGGAGGGCCCUUUGCUGCCCUGAGCCUUUUCCCUGUGUGAGGAGUAAACAGGCUGAUGAGUAAGAGGGGUCACCCUUAGUGAGUGCUUUUAUUCCGUCUGUGCCAGGACUUAUCUUGGAUAACAUUUGCAGUGACCUUAUGAGGUAAGGAUGGCCACUUGGAACCCUUGAAGCUGUGAGUCCCCUUGACUUCCUCCCAGGCACUGCCCUCCCAGAAGUGAAGGUACCAGGAGGCAGAGGAAACAGUAGCACCACGGUGCCAUCCUGGAUCCAACGGAGCAGACAGCACGAAAAUCCAACACGCCCCUCACCGGAGGACUGGGAGGCUCCCGCGUUUUGGAUUCUGAAAAGCACUCCCUCGUUCACGUCUGCCUGGAUUCGCGCCCUCAAGCCCCCUGGCGCCCACUUUUCUUGCUCUCCAAACACUCGUUGAGGCCCGAGAGGGAGAUGCGAAGUUUGCCCACCACUGCGCGUCCCUCCUCCGCGAGGCGCCAAUGGGCCUGAGUCAGGGGCCUCCCCUUCAUCCGCUGGUCCCUCCCCUGUUCCCAGCUCCAGUUCCUCACCCGCUAUGGCUGGCCUGGCGCCUGUGGCCGUUCACCGUCUGCGAGGCAUCUGCGGGGACUGAAGUCGGGGAGGCAGCGGCGGGCUCUGGCAGAUACCAGGAGAUCCCGCCCCUCGGCCCGGGAGACCCCGCCCCUCGGCCACGCCCCUUUCCGCUCCCCACCCCGCCCUCUUGGGCCCCCCACCCGGCCCAGCCAGACAGAGACCUGCCUCCAGGUGGGUGGGAGGAGACCUUCAGUCCCUCGCCCCGGGCCUGUUGUCACUACCUCCCCCAAACACAUUGGUUAAAGUCACCCGAUUAGAAGGGGCCACCUGUGAGACUUGGAUCCAAAGCAAACUAGCGGAAGCUGAAGGGUCUUGGGGCUUCCCAGGCCUCUCGGAGGCCGGGAUGGUCGUGGAGGAGGGAGCGCUCAGUGCCUGGCCUACUGCCUGCCCUGAGCCGGCUCCCUACAGGACGCUUCUCCUGUACCUUCCACCUGCUGCGAGGAAGGGCUGGGGGCAGGCGUACCCAUUUUCCAGAGGAGAACUGAAGGCUCUCACCCCGGGUUAGGCCAGUGGCCGGAGGCAGAGCCGGGCCUUGAACCUGGCUUUCUGGAUCUUCAUCCAGGCCAUUCUAAAGGGGAUCACAGUUUCCAGGAGUCACUCCUGAAGAUGGUCAAGUACCAUGGAGGGGCAGGGCAUCCAUGGACCCUGAUUUGAGGCCCCGGAGCAGUUGGGACUGGUUUGGGCCACGGCUGGCCUAAUCUCCCCUCCACAGAGCCUGGGCAUUGUCCAGUUGGCAGCCAAGAGCCAUCUAUCCACUUUACAGCGGGCAGCUUUGACAGGCUGCUUGUUUCCAAGGACAAAGCCUGCAGGCUGUGGGUAGGCGAUAGCCACUGCGGACCUCGGGCUCAUUGCCUGGGUACAGGGGGUGGGGAGCCUGAGGUCUGCCAGGACCCAAGGGAGCCUCGAGGGUGGCCUGAGGACAUUGGGUCCUCACUCCUGGCCCCUCAGCCAACCCCCUCAUAGCCCAGGGCCAGGAAUUUUGGAAGGAAGAACCAGCCACUGGGAUGUUUUCACUUUUGGGUCACCCUGAUCCCCCCAGAAUCGAGGCUUGGCCAUCAGCCAGCUUUUAUGUGACCCAGGCAGCUCUCUCCACUCUGUUUCUUCUUCUACAGAAUGUUGAGAAUCACCUCUUUCUCUCAGGGACAUAAAGCAUGGCUGUGAGAGAGAUUUGUGAGUGUUGGGGUCACUGUAAUUACUCUCUGAGGGUGCCUGUCUUGAGCUCUGUAGACAAAGUGGGAUCCCUUCCCCUCUCUCAUACCCCUACAAACUUUGGGCCUCGAGUAUCCAGGAUGGGCCCAGAACCAGCACUGGCACAGCCUCCUCUCUGGCCUGAUCCAAGCCCUCUCCCACACAGCAGUCAGGCUGAUCUUCCUAAAAUUUCCGUCUAUUGAGCUUACAUUAAAAUAAUAAUAAUAAUAAUAAUAAUAAUAAUAAUAAUAAUAAUAACAACAUUUCUGUCUGAUUUUGUCUCUCCUCUGCUCAAAAUCCCUCUGUGGAUCCCUAGUGCCUCCAGGAGAAAGUCCACCCUUCCUCUCACGGCUCACCCAAUCUACCCCAGCCGUGGCUCCUCCCUCACUGUGCCUCUUCCCCUUACCUUCUAGCCAGAGUGAAAUCCCCAGGCCUCUGCGUGCACCAUUCCCUCUGCUUAGGAAUAGGCAGACCUGCCCCCAGGUCUUUUCUGGUUCAUUUCCACUUAUCCUUCAGGUUUCUAGGAUGCUUUCCCUGACCUCCACUUAAAUUGGCUCAGGAGUUCCCUGAUCUCCACAAAUGUCAGGAACUUGUCCACCCGCCUGCCCCCAGCACCCAGGUUACACCUGACAAAGUAAGCGCUUUGGAAUGCUCCAACAGACCUAGUCAUACCAUACCCGGACAGAUGCCUUGCGUGUGUGUUUGAGGGUGGUGGUGCUGGGGACAGUGGGAAGGGACUCUGCCUCAUGGACCCCCAAGGCCAGACACCUGCACUGCUGCUUGUGGCCACUGG
rnacentral:lncRNA from 1 species